UACGGAGGGUCCAAGCGUUAUCCGGAUUUAUUAGGUUUAAAGGGUCCGUAGGCGGAUUUUUAAGUCAGUGGUGAAAGCCGGCAGCUCAACUGUCGAACUGCCAUUGAUACUGGAAAUCUUGAGUACAAAUGAAGUAGGCGGAAUGAGUCAUGUAGCGGUGAAAUGCAUAGAUAUGACUCAGAACACCGAUUGCGAAGGCAGCUUACUAACAUGUAACUGACGCUGAGGGACGAAAGCGUGGGGAGCGAACAGG
rnacentral:rRNA from 1 species